CACGUCUGGUGAGGAGAGAAAAAGGACAGGUUUCGCUAAAAUAAUAGCUGAACGAUAAUAUGUCGAGACACCUUGGCUGUCUGAGGACG
rnacentral:snoRNA from 1 species